ACCCAAGAGGAGACUACUUCACUCCUCUUGCUCUUUCUUUCUUUCUUACUUCUAAUCUUGAUGAUGGGUUCUUGCUGUCUGGUUAUUUCCCCUUCCUUCUUGACAUAUUGGCAUCUCUGAUCCAAGAAAUGAGGGUAGAAAGAACUCAGAAAAGUGAAAAAGACAAAGCCAAGUCUGAUUUAUCUGUUCAUUCUUGAUUUCUUGACACAUGAAAACUUAAUCUCAUCCUCUCUAUAGAGAGAGAGAGAGA
rnacentral:misc_RNA from 1 species